AGAGUUUGAUCAUGGCUCAGGAUGAAACGCUAGCGGCAGGCCUAAUACAUGCAAGUCGAACGCUCAGUAGCAAUACGUGGGAGUGGCGCACGGGUGCGUAACGCGUACACAAUCUACCUCUAAGCGGGGGACACCUCCUGGAAACGGGGAUUAAUACCGCAUAAUAUGCCGAAGUCGCAUGACUUUGGUAUUAAAGCAGCAAUGCACUUAGAGAUGAGUGUGCGUCCCAUUAGGUAGUUGGUGAGGUAACGGCUCACCAAGCCUAUGAUGGGUAGCCGGUCUGAGAGGAUGGUCGGCCACACGGGCACUGAGACACGGGCCCGACUCCUACGGGAGGCAGCAGUAAGGAAUAUUGGUCAAUGGUGGGAAACACUGAAUCAGCCAUGCCGCGUGGAGGGAUAAGGUCCUACGGAUUGUAAACUCCUUUUGACGAGGAAGAAAAUGUUAGAUUUAUCUAAUUUGACGGUACUCGUAGAAUAAGCACCGGCUAACUCCGUG
rnacentral:rRNA from 1 species